rnacentral:rRNA from 1 species
ACAAAUGCUAGCCCAAACAACAAAAAAAAUAAAACUACAACACUAAAAUAAGAUAAAACAUUUGAAAUUAAAAAGUAUAGGAGAU